rnacentral:rRNA from 1 species
CUAAGCAUAUCAAUAAGCGGAGGAAAAGAAACUAACAAGGAUUCCCCUAGUAACUGCGAGUGAAGCGGGAAAAGCUCAAAUUUAAAAUCUGGCAGUCUUUGGCUGUCCGAGUUGUAAUCUGGAGAAGCGUCUUCCGCGCUGGACCGUGUACAAGUCUCCUGGAACGGAGCGUCAUAGAGGGUGAGAAUCCCGUCUUUGACACGGACUACCAGUGCUUUGUGAUGCGCUCUCAAAGAGUCGAGUUGUUUGGGAAUGCAGCUCAAAAUGGGUGGUAAACUCCAUCUAAAGCUAAAUAUUGGCGAGAGACCGAUAGCGAACAAGUACCGUGAGGGAAAGAUGAAAAGCACUUUGGAAAGAGAGUUAAACAGUACGUGAAAUUGCUGAAAGGGAAACGCUUGAAGUCAGUCGCGUUUGCUAGGACUCAGCCUUGCCUCGGCUUGGUGCACUUCCUAGUAAACGGGCCAGCAUCACUUUUGGCUGCGGGAAAAAGGUCAGAGGAAUGUGGCACCUUCGGGUGUGUUAUAGCCUCUGGCUGCAUACCGUGGCUGGGAGUGAGGAACUCAGCACGCCUUACGGCGGGGCUUCGGCCACCUUCGUGCUUAGGAUGCUGGCGUAAUGGCUUUAAACGACCCGUCUUGAAACACGGACCAAGGAGUCUAACAUGCCUGCGAGUGUUUGGGUGGAAAACCCGAGCGCGUAAUGAAAGUGAAAGUUGGGACCUCUGUCGUGGAGGGCACCGACGCCCGGACCAGACCUUCGGUGACGGAUCUGCGGUAGAGCAUGUAUGUUGGGACCCGAAAGAUGGUGAACUAUGCCUGAAUAGGGUGAAGCCAGAGGAAACUCUGGUGGAGGCUCGUAGCGACUUCUGACGUGCAAAUCGAUUCGUCAAAUUUGGGUAAUAAGGGGCGAAAGACUAAU